UAGAAGCCGAUGAAGGACGUUACUAACGACGAUAUGCUUUGGGGAGCUGUAAGUAAGCUUUGAUCCAGAGAUUUCCGAAUGGGGAAACCCAGCAUGAGUUAUGUCAUGUUAUCGAUAUGUGAAUACAUAGCAUAUCAGAAGGCACACCCGGAGAACUGAAACAUCUUAGUACCCGGAGGAAGAGAAAGAAAAUUCGAUUCCCUUAGUAGCGGCGAGCGAAACGGGAAGAGCCCAAACCAACAAGCUUGCUUGUUGGGGUUGUAGGACACUCUAUACGGAGUUACAAAGGACGACAUUAGACGAAUCAUCUGGAAAGAUGAAUCAAAGAAGGUAAUAAUCCUGUAGUCGAAAAUGUUGUCUCUCUUGAGUGGAUCCUGAGUACGACGGAGCACGUGAAAUUCCGUCGGAAUCUGGGAGGACCAUCUCCUAAGGCUAA
rnacentral:rRNA from 1 species